ACUCCUACGGGAGGCAGCAGUAGGGAAUAUUGGUUAAUGUGCGAAAGCGCGAACCAGCAACGCCGCGUGUGCGAUGAAGGCCUUCGGGUCGUAAAGCACUUUUUGCAGGGACGAGGAAGGACGGUACCUGCAGAAUAAGUCUCGGCUAACUACGUGCCAGCAGCCGCGGUAAAACGUAGGAGACGAGCGUUAUCCGGAUUUACUGGGCGUAAAGCGCGUGCAGGCGGCAUGGCAAGUUGGAUGUGAAAGCUCCCGGCUUAACUGGGAGAGGUCGUUCAAUACUGCCAGGCUUGAGAGUGGUAGAGGGAAGCGGAAUUCCGGGUGUAGUGGUGAAAUGCGUAGAUAUCCGGAGGAACACCAGUGGCGAAAGCGGCUUCCUGGCCCAUUUCUGACGCUCAGACGCGAAAGCUAGGGUAGCAAACGGGAUUAGAGACCCCGGUAGUCCUAGCCGUAAACGAUGUGAACUUGGCGUUGGUGGGUUCAAAUCCAUCAGUGCCGCAGCUAACGCGAUAAGUUCACCGCCUGGGGACUACGGCCGCAAGGUUAAAACUCAAAGGAAUUGACGG
rnacentral:rRNA from 1 species